rnacentral:rRNA from 1 species
AACGAACGCUGGCGGCGUGGAUAAGACAUGCAAGUCGAGCGCGACUUAUUCUGUAGCAAUACAGGGUAAGUUGAGCGGCGAAAGGGUGCGUAACACGUGGGCAAUUUGCCAUGAAGUUGGGGAUAACUCGCUGAAAGGCGAGCUAAUACCGAAUGUGAUUAUUUGGAGGCAUCUCCGGAUAAUUAAAGCUGGGGAUCGUAAGACCUGGCGCUUUAUGAUGAGCCCGCGGCCUAUCAGCUAGUUGGUGAGGUAAUGGCUCACCAAGGCUAAGACGGGUAGCUGGUCUGAGAGGACGACCAGCCACACUGGAACUGAGACACGGUCCAGACACCUACGGGUGGCAGCAGUCGAGAAUUUUCUCAAUGGACGAAAGUCUGAAGGAGCGACGCCGCGUGGGGAUGAAUGGCUUCGG